UGAACAACAUGCACUUUCUGCAGAACUCAUCAUCAAGGUUAAGGGAAGGCAAACUGCCCGAGAAAUCAUCUCAUGGGUAGAAGAAAGUGUGUUUCCCCAUCAUGGUUUGGAAGCUGCACUUACAGUGGUUGUGCAAACUCUUAUUGACAUCGGGUCUAAAAGUUUCACUCAUUUAAUUACUGUUUUGGAGAGAUAUGGCCAAGUCAUUGCACGUAUAUGUCAUGAUCAAGAUAAGCAGAUCAUGCUGAUAGC
rnacentral:misc_RNA from 1 species